GAGUUUGAUCCUGGCUCAGGAUGAACGCCGGCGGUGUGCCUAAUACAUGCAAGUCGUACGCACUGGCCCAACUGAUUGAUGGUGCUUGCACCUGAUUGACGAUGGAUCACCAGUGAGUGGCGGACGGGUGAGUAACACGUAGGUAACCUGCCCCGGAGCGGGGGAUAACAUUUGGAAACAGAUGCUGAUACCGCAUAACAACGAAAGCCACAUGGCUUUUGUUUGAAAGAUGGCUUUGGCUAUCACUCUGGGAUGGACCUGCGGUGCAUUAGCUAGUUGGUAAGGUAACGGCUUACCAAGGCGAUGAUGCAUAGCCGAGUUGAGAGACUGAUCGGCCACAAUGGAACUGAGACACGGUACAUACUCCUACGGGAGGCAGCAGUAGGGAAUCUUCCACAAUGGGCGCAAGCCUGAUGGAGCAACACCGCGUGAGUGAAGAAGGGUUUCGGCUCGUAAAGCUCUGUUGUUGGAGAAGAACGUGCGUGAGAGUAACUGUUCACGCAGUGACGGUAUCCAACCAGAAAGUCACGGCUAACUACGUGCCAGCAGCCGCGGUAAUACGUAGGUGGCAAGCGUUAUCCGGAUUUAUUGGGCGUAAAGCGAGCGCAGGCGGUUGCUUAGGUCUGAUGUGAAAGCCUUC
rnacentral:rRNA from 1 species